rnacentral:rRNA from 1 species
UACGUAGGGUGCGAGCGUUAAUCGGAAUUACUGGGCGUAAAGCGUGCGCAGGCGGCGCGUUAAGACAGGUGUGAAAGCCCCGAGCUUAACUUGGGAAUUGCGCUUGUGACUGGCGAGCUGGAGUGUGGCAGAGGGAGGUGGAAUUCCACGUGUAGCAGUGAAAUGCGUAGAUAUCUGGAGGAACACCGGUGGCGAAGGCGGCAAUCCUGGACCCGAGUACUGACGCUGAGGAGCGAAAGCCAGGGGAGCAAAGCGGG